AGACGGAGGGGGCUAGCGUUAUUCGGAAUUACUGGGCGUAAAGGGCGCGUAGGCGGAUUAGUAAGUUGGGAGUGAAAGCCCGGGGCUUAACCUCGGAACUGCUUUCAAAACUGCUAGUCUUGAGUGAAGUAGGGGGUGAUGGAAUUCCUAGUGUAGAGGUGAAAUUCUUAGAUAUUAGGAGGAACACCGGUGGCGAAGGUGGUCACCUGGACUUCAACUGACGCUGAGGCGCGAAAGCGUGGGGAGCAAACAGGAUUAGAAACCCUAGUAGUCC
rnacentral:rRNA from 1 species